CAUAAUAAAGCGGAAAAGGUCCCGUAGUGUCACUAGUUGGCGAUCGCAGAGUGCCCAAUAAAGAGCAAUUGUGUUCUGCAAUGGAGUCCUGAUGGGGCUUCUGUUCGAGAAGUACAGUGCCAGUUGUAUACUUGAAAGCAUGUCUACUGCAUUUUGGUAUGUCUCUGAGGUUAGUGCAAAGCUUCCAGCACCAAACUUGUAUCCCCAUUCGCCAUACCAUGGGUGCCCACUGGUGACUGCAUGCAGGAGUCUGUAGUCCAUUCCAUGUUUCUUGGAGAUGUCCAUGACAGUGACCUUCCUGCAGUGAUGGAAAUGACAGUUAGGUUGAAGGAUAGCAUUUUGGAUAAGUGUCGAUUCCAAUCAAAGAUUGUUGUUCUGCUCCUUUCAUUUACCUCACAUGCAGCACCUUGCACAAGCGAUCCCAUAAGCUCAUUAUGUCACGGCCAGUGAGGAAUCUUGAACCACCUUCACGGCCAUUUACCCUGAGGAGGUGCCCAUAGCCGUUUGCAUGCACCACAGCGUGCAGCAAGUGAGAGGAGUCAUCCAAAUGCAGCGACCAUGGGAGUGCCGCAGCGAAGGCAGCAGGUGCGCCGGUGGCCAGAAAGCUGGUUGCAGUCGUUCUCGAUGAUGAAAUGGUAUCGCUUCCCACAGACUGGGUGCCCACUCCAUCCUGCAACCAAACAAACGCAUCAGACACAAGAUUCCACUGCAGAUGCUUUGUUGCUGUAUGCUAACAGGAUAUGACAACGAAGAUUGAAUCAAUCAUGGUUAUGGAUGUUGAAAGCAACAGCCUAACAAUUGGCUGACAA